UAUUACUUAUCUCCCUUGCAUUUUGCUCUGCUGCUGUGAUUUUGCCCUUUGUUUUCAUCUGAGACAUAGUCAUCUCUGUCUCUUCAUUUUGUCUAACUCCCUGUGUCUGUUUUUUUGUGUUAGGAAAGUCAGCUAUGUCUCCUGAUCUUGAAAGCAUUGGCUUUAUGAAGAAGAGAUCCUUCAGUGCCCUGCAGUACAGUGUCCCCCGUUCAUCAGAAUCUGGUGCUUUGGAUGACAAAGAAGUGCCGAUUUGGAUUCCAGAGAGAUUGGUCUGGAAGGCCCCUGAGAAAGAGGAUGAGGACAGAGGAAGCCGUGAUCCUCCUACUGUCGUGGGGGACUCUGAUAUUCCUAAUUACCCCGACGGCGACACGUGAAUUAUGGGCUAUUCUGAAGGCUUGGCCCUAUCCUUUACCUUUAACUAAUUACUGAGUGUUGGUUCUAUUGUUCGUUUUUCUGCGCUCUGUGUUACCCCUAUAAAAUUCUCUAACCUUAGUCAGAUUAGCAAUUCCUCCCAACAGCUCUCCCAGUAUUUGCAGGGUGCUUGGUCUGACGAAAUAGUAUGCGUGUGCAACCAGCUUCCCUCCCAGAGCUAUUUCCAACAUUCAGCAAUAUGUUCCAGUUCACCAAACAAUGGGCUGGCACAGUUGGUCUUCUUGUCCUCCUUCUUAUUGGCAUUCUGCUUCUAUUCAGAAAAGUUCGCCAAUGGAGAACACAGCAGCGAGAGCAGAGCCGAGCUAUAGUACAAGCCCUUAUGUCAAUAGAGGCUGGGACAUCUCCCCAGAUAUGACUAAGCAUGCUAGAUCGGUAGUCAAAGACGGGUCAGAUCAGUAGAGAAACAUACCAACCUAAGACAGGACAGAGAUCAUCGAUAUCUUGUGUCUGAUGACGAGUAAGGAUGUUUUUGGCUACUGACGACCUAAGACAGACACAAUCUCUGCCAUAAAACAAAAAAGGGGGAGAUGUCGGGGACCGCCUCCGGCCGGGAAAGUCGCCACCAUUACAAGAUGGCGCUUGGCUCACUGCCAGCAAAAUACGCUGCAAGUAAACAACGAACUUUCUGGUGAAGCCCGCCUAAAGGAGGACAUAGUCAUUGGCUGUUUCAAAUUUAAACAGCAUAGUAACAGGACUCUGAUUGGCUCUCCCCAUUGCUUGGCCCCUUAUUGGUCACCCUGCUGCAUAUAAGCUAGGGAAGUUGACGAAAUAAAUGGGAAUGAAGCAUUAACAC
rnacentral:lncRNA from 1 species